AUGUCUUCGAGCGACUCCGACGAAGGCGCGUGGCCGGGCGGCGUCUGGCCGUUGAGCCUCACCAUCCGCGACACGGAGGACCUCGCCCGGUUCGGCCUGAUGGUGCCGCCGGUUUCGAAGGUGCCGGGGCCAUGGCGGAUCGGCGCAGACGGCGUCCCCACACGCGGCUCGCCACCGACGCCGGAGCAGCUCCACGCCUUCCCUGGCGCCCGGUACAACAGGAAGGCCCGCCGCCGCUUCUGGCGAGGCAAAAACUUCGAUGUCGUCCUCGGCGCGUUCAGGGACGCGGCGGCCGACCGCCCCGUCGGAGACAUUACCGGCGAGGUCGGCUGUUCUCGUCGCCGCCGCCGCCAGCUCCCACCCGCUCCCGGCCCUAGUACUCGGGCACAGCAGGCACCCCCUGCCCCGGCGCUGUCCCCGCUCCCGCCGGCGCAGGCCGCCCUCGCGCAAGACGGCGGCCCCGAUGACACCCCGGGGCUACUUGCGGUGCUGGCCCGGUCGGCAGCCGAGGCGGCGGCGGCGGCGCGCGAGGAGAGAGAGAUGCAGGCGGCCUUAGCGGCGGUGCGGGCGCAGGAGGCGCAGCAUGGCGGCAACUGGUGGGACGACGACUCCGGCGAUGACGGCGGCGAAGGAGGCGCUGGCGUUGUCGACCUCGCCGGCGCCAGCGACGACGAGUAG
rnacentral:rRNA from 1 species